rnacentral:rRNA from 1 species
UAGGGAAUCUUCCGCAAUGGGCGAAAGCCUGACGGAGCAACGCCACGUGAGUGAUGAAGGUCUUCGGAUCGUAAAACUCUGUUAUUAGGGAAGAACAAAUGUGUAAGUAACUAUGCACGUCUUGACGGUACCUAAUCAGAAAGCCACGGCUAACUACGUGCCAGCAGCCGCGGUAAUACGUAGGUGGCAAGCGUUAUCCGGAAUUAUUGGGCGUAAAGCGCGCGUAGGCGGUUUUUUAAGUCUGAUGUGAAAGCCCACGGCUCAACCGUGGAGGGUCAUUGGAAACUGGAAAACUUGAGUGCAGAAGAGGAAAGUGGAAUUCCAUGUGUAGCGGUGAAAUGCGCAGAGAUAUGGAGGAACACCAGUGGCGAAGGCGACUUUCUGGUCUGUAACUGACGCUGAUGUGAGAAAGCGUGGGGAUCAAACAGG